ensembl:snoRNA SNORA74 Small nucleolar RNA SNORA74
CCCAGCUGUAGGCAACCACCUAGGUUACAUUGUACCAAGGCAAGUGUUGCACUACUGGGAGAAAAGUAGCUAAUAGCUAGCAGGCAUCUUGGGCCUGAUUAAUGUCAAAUUUGUGUUAAUUAUACCAAUGUGCCAGCAUAGU